GACGAACGCUGGCGGCGUGCUUAACACAUGCAAGUCGAACGGAAAGGCCCUGCGUUUGUGGGGUGCUCGAGUGGCGAACGGGUGAGUAACACGUGAGUAACCUGCCCUUGACUGUGGGAUAACUUCAGGAAACUGGGGCUAAUACCGGAUAGGAGCUCCUGCUGCAUGGUGGGGGUUGGAAAGUUUCGGCGGUGUGGGAUGGACUCGAGGCUUAUCAGCUUGUUGGUGGGGUAGUGGCUUACCAAGGCUUUGACGGGUAGCCGGCCUGAGAGGGUGACCGGCCACCUUGGGCCUGCGGUACGGACCAGUCUCCUACGGGAGGCAACAGUGGGGAAUAUUGCGCAGUGGGCGGACGCCUGAUGCAGCAGCGCCGCGUGCGGGAUGACGGCCUUCGGGUUGUAAACCGCUUUCGCCUGUGACGAAGCGUGAGUGACGGUAAUGGGUAAAGAAGCACCGGCUAACUACGUG
rnacentral:rRNA from 1 species